rnacentral:rRNA from 1 species
UCAGGCCUAACACAUGCAAGUCGAGCGGAAACGAGUUAUCUGAACCUUCGGGGAACGAUAACGGCGUCGAGCGGCGGACGGGUGAGUAAUGCCUAGGAAAUUGCCCUGAUGUGGGGGAUAACCAUUGGAAACGAUGGCUAAUACCGCAUAAUGCCUACGGGCCAAAGAGGGGGACCUUCGGGCCUCUCGCGUCAGGAUAUGCCUAGGUGGGAUUAGCUAGUUGGUGAGGUAAGGGCUCACCAAGGCGGCGAUCCCUAGCUGGUCUGAGAGGAUGAUCAGCCACACUGGAACUGAGACACGGUCCAGACUCCUACGGGAGGCAGCAGUGGGGAAUAUUGCACAAUGGGCGCAAGCCUGAUGCAGCCAUGCCGCGUGUAUGAAGAAGGCCUUCGGGUUGUAAAGUACUUUCAGUCGUGAGGAAGGUAGUGUAGUUAAUAGCUGCAUUAUUUGACGUUAGCGACAGAAGAAGCACCGGCUAACUCCGUGCCAGCAGCCGCGGUAAUACGGAGGGUGCGAGCGUUAAUCGGAAUUACUGGGCGUAAAGCGCAUGCAGGUGGUUUGUUAAGUCAGAUGUGAAAGCCCGGGGCUCAACCUCGGAAUAGCAUUUGAAACUGGCAGACUAGAGUACUGUAGAGGGGGGUAGAAUUUCA